AAACAGAUCCGAAAAAGAAAGAAAAAUUAAAAUCAACUGCCUGUGGUGUGUUCGGUUGCUUUGCAGGUCACCGCCGGCGUAGGGAGACUGAGAAGAAGGAGACGAUCCCGAUCUACCAGCUUGCUGGUCUUCACCGGCGGUGGCGCGUGAGGCCCACGCGCCGCCACUGUUCCGGCACCCAGAAGCCUCCGACACUGUUCACCCGUGGCUACACUGUUCCUGAUUCUGUUUUAGGGGUUGUUUUGUAAUUUUAAAUUGUUUGAUGUAAUUUUAAUUUUUAGUAUUGAAUUUUUAUAAUUUGUAAUGUUGAUGUAACAAAAAAAAGAAAGAAAAAGAAAGAGAAAAGAAAAAAUACAGUAAAGAAAAAGAAAAGAAAAAAAUACAGUGAAGGUGUAUGUGUUGUUUGUAUUUUUUUUGUUAUGGAUGUUUUGUUAUAUUUUAUUUAGGAUAAAAUUGCAAAGAUUAAAGAAGAAUUUAAUAUUUUGAUUUGCUCAAGGAUAAAGAAUUAUGAACUUACAUGUAAGUCGUAUUUCUAAAUUCGAUGAAAGAACAAAAUUUUUAAAACUUCUUUAGCACAUCAAGUCCACGAAGCAGCUUACCUCAGGUAGGGUGUGUUAGGGGUGCUAAUAUUUUCCCUAACCACAACCAGUCCCUUACCCGUGAAUCUCUGAUAAGACCAGUACCCGGGUUUCCUAGUAGCCUUCAAUUAAAUACUAGGUGGCGACUCCAACGAA
rnacentral:lncRNA from 1 species